GGGAGCUCAUCAAGGUCAUCAUGGCUGCCCACAUGUCGGUGAGCAGCCUGUUUGCUCUUAGGUUUAAGAAGUGCCAGCAUAAAGAUGAAAAGUCCGUGCUUAAGACGGUUGAGGAUAGAACGACACUUGAAGAAGUAUUUCAAUCUGAUCAUGGGGUGUUGCCCAAAAAUUGCAGUCUUCUUGUCAAAACAUCGGUAGAUGACCAUAAUAUUUUCGAUGUUAACCCAAACCUGACAAUUGCCGAUAUUAACCGGUACUUCAAAAUGCACGAGCAGUAAUUAACUGCGUAGAAUGUAGAAAGCCUCGUGUGGUCUACAGCAGGAAAAAGCUAACAACAAAGAGGCAGCUAUGCAGUCUGGCUGUUGCCAUCACAUAAUUCGACUAUACAUGUGGGACAAUUAUGCUGCUAGAUGAGCAUCACAUGUAUAACAUGCUAACUACACGGAUGAACAUUACCUGUCAGAGUCCUAUUGAACUACCCUACUACACCGCUGCCUUAGGACCAGUUGAUGUCUGUGCUCAUUGUGGCUGCACUGGGGCAGACCCAAAAACAGAACUUAAAAAACUGUACAAGACCGUCCUGCCUCUAUGUAAUGAAUGUGAAAAUGAUGGCAAAAAACCUGUCGUGGCCAGAUUGUACGGCAGUUCGGAGUGACUUUUGGAUGUUGUUGUUGAUCUAAAGUGUCCUUUAAUGUUUAUAAAUGAAUUACAAACUGUAAUGAUUGUUUAUUAAAAGAAAACAAAACCAGUA